AGUAAGGUAAGCUAAACAAGCUAUUGGGCCCAUACCCCGAAAAUGUUGGUAAAAUCCUUCCCGUGCUA
rnacentral:tRNA from 1 species